rnacentral:rRNA from 1 species
CAGUCGCCACGGGAAUACGAAGGGUGCAAGCGUUAAUCGGAAUUACUGGGCGUAAAGCGUGCGUAGGUGGUGGUUUAAGUCCGUUGUGAAAGCCCUGGGCUCAACCUGGGAAUUGCAGUGGAUACUGGGUCACUAGAGUGUGGUAGAGGAUAGUGGAAUUUCCGGUGUAGCAGUGAAAUGCGUAGAGAUCGGAAGGAACAUCUGUGGCGAAGGCGACUAUCUGGGCCAACACUGACACUGAGGCACGAAAGCGUGGGGAGCAAACAGGAUUAGAUACCCGAGUAGUCCCUGUCUCUUAUAC